CGCGAAAGGGGGGCACUCCCGAGUAAAGCGGCGAACGGGUGAGUAACACGUGGUUAACCUGCCGGAAUGUGGGGGAUACCCCGGGGAAACUCGGGACAAUACCGCAUACAGUCUCCCGGGCUCGAGCCUGGGAGAGCAAAGCCGGGGAUCGUAAGACCUGGCGCAUUCCGAGGGGACCGCGGCCGAUUAGCUAGUUGGCGGGGUAAUGGCCCACCAAGGCGACGAUCGGUAGCCGGCCUGAGAGGGUGAUCGGCACACCGGAACUGAGACACGGUCCGGACUCCUACGGGAGGCAGCAGUGGGGAAUUUUGGACAAUGGGGGCAACCCUGAUCCAGCCAUGCCGCGUGAGUGAAGAAGGCCUUCGGGUUGUAAAGCUCUUUCGGCCGGAACGAAAUCGCGUACGCGAAUAACGUGCGUGGAUGACGGUACUGGAAGAAGAAGCACCGGUAACUACGUGCCAGCAGCCGCGGUAAUACGUAGGGUGCGAGCGUUAAUCGGAAUUACUGGGCGUAAAGCGUGCGCAGGCGGUUCUGCAAGUCAGAUGUGAAAUCCCCGGGCUUAACCUGGGAACUGCGUUUGAAACUACGGAGCUAGAGUACGGGCAGAGGGGGUGGAAUUCCACGGUGUAGCAAGGUGAAAUGCGUAGAUAUGUGGAGGGAACACCGAUUGGCGCAAGGGCAGGCCCCUGGGGCCCGGAUACUGACGGCUCCAGGGCCGAAAGCGUGGGGAGCAAACCAGGGAUUAAGAUUACCCUGGUAGUCCACGGCCCCUAACUUAUGUCCACCUGGGUUGUCCGGGGAAAGCAUUCCUUGGUUAACCGAAGGCUUACGCGUGAAGUUGACCGGCUGGGGGGAAUAA
rnacentral:rRNA from 1 species